GAUGAACGCUGGCUACAGGCUUAACACGUGCAAGUCGAGGGGAAACGACGGGGAAGCUUGCUUCCCCGGGCGUCGACCGGCGCACGGGUGAGUAACGCGUAUCCAACCUGCCUCUGACUGAGGGAUAACCCGUCGAAAGUCGGCCUAAUACCUCAUGGCAUCGUCUGCGGGCAUCCAACGACGAUUAAAGAUUUCAUCGGUCAGAGAUGGGGAUGCGUCUGAUUAGCUUGUUGGCGGGGUAACGGCCCACCAAGGCGACGAUCAGUAGGGGUUCUGAGAGGAAGGUCCCCCACAUUGGAACUGAGACACGGUCCAAACUCCUACGGGAGGCAGCAGUGAGGAAUAUUGGUCAAUGGGCGAGAGCCUGAACCAGCCAAGUAGCGUGCAGGAUGACGGCCCUAUGGGUUGUAAACUGCUUUUAUGCGGGGAUAAAGUGAGGGACGUGUCCUUCAUUGCAGGUACCGCAUGAAUAAGGACCGGCUAAUUCCGUG
rnacentral:rRNA from 1 species